GGGUUGUGAGGUUAAGCGACUAAGCGUACACGGUGGAUGCCCUGGCAGUCAGAGGCGAUGAAGGACGUGCUAAUCUGCGAAAAGCGUCGGUAAGGUGAUAUGAACCGUUAUAACCGGCGAUGUCCGAAUGGGGAAACCCAGUGCAAUUCGUUGCACUAUCGUUAACUGAAUACAUAGGUUAACGAGGCGAACCGGGGGAACUGAAACAUCUAAGUACCCCGAGGAAAAGAAAUCAACCGAGAUUCCCCCAGUAGCGGCGAGCGAACGGGGAGCAGCCCAGAGUCUGAAUCAGCUUGUGUGUUAGUGGAACGGUCUGGAAAGUCCGACGGUACAGGGUGAUAGUCCCGUACACCAAAAUGCACAGGCUGUGAACUCGAAGAGUAGGGCGGGACACGUGGUAUCCUGUCUGAAUAUGGGGGACCAUCCUCCAAGGCUAAAUACUCCUGACUGACCGAUAGUGAACCAGUACCGUGAGGGAAAGGCGAAAAGAACCCCGGCGAGGGGAGUGAAAAAGAACCUGAAACCGUGUACGUACAAGCAGUGGGAGCACCUUCGGGUGUGACUGCGUACCUUUUGUAUAAUGGGUCAGCGACUUAUAUUCUGUAGCAAGGUUAACCGUAUAGGGGAGCCGCAGGGAAACCGAGUCUUAACUGGGCGUUAAGUUGCAGGGUAUAGACCCGAAACCCGGUGAUCUAGCCAUGGGCAGGUUGAAGGUUGGGUAACACUAACUGGAGGACCGAACCGACUAAUGUUGAAAAAUUAGCGGAUGACUUGUGGCUGGGGGUGAAAGGCCAAUCAAACCGGGAGAUAGCUGGUUCUCCCCGAAAGCUAUUUAGGUAGCGCCUCGUGAACUCAUCUUCGGGGGUAGAGCACUGUUUCGGCUAGGGGGUCAUCCCGACUUACCAACCCGAUGCAAACUACGAAUACCGAAGAAUGUUAUCACGGGAGACACACGGCGGGUGCUAACGUCCGUCGUGAAGAGGGAAACAACCCAGACCGCCAGCUAAGGUCCCAAAGUCAUGGUUAAGUGGGAAACGAUGUGGGAAGGCACAGACAGCCAGGAUGUUGGCUUAGAAGCAGCCAUCAUUUAAAGAAAGCGUAAUAGCUCACUGGUCGAGUCGGCCUGCGCGGAAGAUGUAACGGGGCUAAACCAUGCACCGAAGCUGCGGCAGCGACACUAUGUGUUGUUGGGUAGGGGAGCGUUCUGUAAGCCUGCGAAGGUGUGCUGUGAGGCAUGCUGGAGGUAUCAGAAGUGCGAAUGCUGACAUAAGUAACGAUAAAGCGGGUGAAAAGCCCGCUCGCCGGAAGACCAAGGGUUCCUGUCCAACGUUAAUCGGGGCAGGGUGAGUCGACCCCUAAGGCGAGGCCGAAAGGCGUAGUCGAUGGGAAACAGGUUAAUAUUCCUGUACUUGGUGUUACUGCGAAGGGGGGACGGAGAAGGCUAUGUUAGCCGGGCGACGGUUGUCCCGGUUUAAGCAUGUAGGCUGGUUGUCCAGGCAAAUCCGGAUAAUCAAGGCUGAGGUGUGAUGACGAGGCACUACGGUGCUGAAGUAACAAAUGCCCUGCUUCCAGGAAAAGCCUCUAAGCAUCAGGUAACAUCAAAUCGUACCCCAAACCGACACAGGUGGUCAGGUAGAGAAUACCAAGGCGCUUGAGAGAACUCGGGUGAAGGAACUAGGCAAAAUGGUGCCGUAACUUCGGGAGAAGGCACGCUGGUGUGUAGGUGAAGCCCCUGCGGGUGGAGCUGAGACCAGUCGAAGAUACCAGCUGGCUGCAACUGUUUAUUAAAAACACAGCACUGUGCAAACACGAAAGUGGACGUAUACGGUGUGACGCCUGCCCGGUGCCGGAAGGUUAAUUGAUGGGGUUAUCCGUAAGGAGAAGCUCUUGAUCGAAGCCCCGGUAAACGGCGGCCGUAACUAUAACGGUCCUAAGGUAGCGAAAUUCCUUGUCGGGUAAGUUCCGACCUGCACGAAUGGCGUAAUGAUGGCCAGGCUGUCUCCACCCGAGACUCAGUGAAAUUGAACUCGCUGUGAAGAUGCAGUGUACCCGCGGCAAGACGGAAAGACCCCGUGAACCUUUACUAUAGCUUGACACUGAACAUUGAGCCUUGAUGUGUAGGAUAGGUGGGAGGCUUUGAAGCGUGGACGCCAGUCUGCGUGGAGCCAACCUUGAAAUACCACCCUUUAAUGUUUGAUGUUCUAACGUUGGCCCCUGACCGGGGUUGCGGACAGUGUCUGGUGGGUAGUUUGACUGGGGCGGUCUCCUCCCAAAGCGUAACGGAGGAGCACGAAGGUUAGCUAAUCCUGGUCGGACAUCAGGAGGUUAGUGCAAUGGCAUAAGCUAGCUUGACUGCGAGCGUGACGGCGCGAGCAGGUGCGAAAGCAGGUCAUAGUGAUCCGGUGGUUCUGAAUGGAAGGGCCAUCGCUCAACGGAUAAAAGGUACUCCGGGGAUAACAGGCUGAUACCGCCCAAGAGUUCAUAUCGACGGCGGUGUUUGGCACCUCGAUGUCGGCUCAUCACAUCCUGGGGCUGAAGUAGGUCCCAAGGGUAUGGCUGUUCGCCAUUUAAAGUGGUACGCGAGCUGGGUUUAGAACGUCGUGAGACAGUUCGGUCCCUAUCUGCCGUGGGCGCUGGAGAAUUGAGGGGGCUGCUCCUAGUACGAGAGGACCGGAGUGGACGCAUCACUGGUGUUCGGGUUGUCAUGCCAAUGGCACUGCCCGGUAGCUAAAUGCGGAAGAGAUAAGUGCUGAAAGCAUCUAAGCACGAAACUUGCCCCGAGAUGAGUUCUCCCUGAGACUUUAAGUCUCCUGAAGGAACGUUGAAGACGACGACGUUGAUAGGCCGGGUGUGUAAGCGCAGCGAUGCGUUGAGCUAACCGGUACUAAUGAACCGUGAGGCUUAACCUUACAACGCCGAAG
rnacentral:rRNA from 1 species